rfam:Stegodyphus mimosarum contig75234, whole genome shotgun sequence.
AAAAAAGCCCUUUUUAGGGCCACAAAUUAAGAAUACAAGGGCCUUU